CCUACGGGUGGCAGCAGUGGGGAAUAUUGCGCAAUGGGCGAAAGCCUGACGCAGCGACGCCGCGUGAGGGAUGAAGGUCUUCGGAUCGUAAACCUCUGUCAGCAGGGAAGAACGGUCACUGUGCUAAUCAGCAGUGAAUUGACGGUACCUGCAAAGGAAGCACCGGCUAACUCCGUGCCAGCAGCCGCGGUAAUACGGAGGAUGCGAGCGUUAAUCGGAUUUAUUGGGCUUAAAGCGCGCGUAGGCGGUAUGUUAAGUCAGGGGUGAAAUCCCGGGGCUCAACGGUGGAAUUGCAUUUGAUACUGGCAGUCUUGAGUGUAGGUGAGGUUGGCGGAAUUCCAGGUGUAGCAGUGAAAUGCGUAGAUAUCAGGAAGAACAUCGAUGGCGAAGGCGACUAACU
rnacentral:rRNA from 1 species